GCUGAAGAACGUAGUGAAAUGCGAUACGUAGUGUGAAUUGCAGAAUUCAGUGAAUCAUCGAAUCUUUGAACGCACAUUGCACCUCUCGGUAUUCCGGGAGGUAUGCCUGUUCGAGCGUCAUUUGUACCCUCAAGCUCUGCUUGGUGUUGGGUGUUUGUUCCGCCUCUGUGUGUGAACUCGCCUCAAAACAAUUGGCAGCCGGCGUACUUGUUUCGGAGCGCAGCACAUUUUGCGAUCCAGAUCAACGUACAGCGGCAUCCAAGAAGCCUUAUUUAACGCUCUUGACCUCGGAUCAGGUAGGGAUACCCGCUGAACUUAAGCAUAUCAAUAAGCGGAGGA
rnacentral:misc_RNA from 1 species